GAUGAACGCUAGCGGCAGGCCUAAUACAUGCAAGUCGGACGGGAUUCAGGAGCUUGCUUCUGAUGAGAGUGGCGCACGGGUGCGUAACACGUAUGUAACCUACCUUUAUCAGGGGGAUAGCCUCUCGAAAGAGAGAUUAAGCCCGCAUAAAAUCACAGCACAGCAUUGUGUAAUGAUCAAAUAUUUAUAGGAUAAAGAUGGGCAUGCGGAACAUUAGCUAGAUGGCGGGGUAACGGCCCACCAUGGCGACGAUGUUUAGGGGAUCUGAGAGGAUGGCCCCCCACACUGGUACUGAGACACGGACCAGACUCCUACGGGAGGCAGCAGUAAGGAAGAUUGGUCAAUGGGCGGAAGCCUGAACCAGCCAUGCCGCGUGCAGGAAGACGGCCCUACGGGUUGUAAACUGCUUUUAGACGGGAAUAAACCCAGAUACGUGUAUCUGGCUGAAUGUACUGGAAGAAUAAGGAUCGGCUAACUCCGUG
rnacentral:rRNA from 1 species